rnacentral:tRNA from 3 species
GCCGGAAUAGCUCAGUUGGGAGAGCGUCAGACUGAAGAUCUGAAGGUCCCUGGUUCAAUCCCGGGUUCCGGCA